GCCCGGCUAGCUCAGUCGGUAGAGCAUGAGUCUCUUAAUCUCAGGGUGGUGGGUUCGAGCCCCAUACUGGGCG